ACAGUGUCGCCCGUUCUGCAUUUCGCCUUGUGGAUUCCUUGCGGCAAACGUCUGAGCUGUCUCAGGCUUCCUUCCAACCCCCCCUCCCCAGUUUCGUCCCCCAUUUCGCGGCCUCCUCAUUUAGCUGUCGACCCACGCCGAAAAUAAGGAAGAGAACUCUGAAGGGAGAAGACAAACAAUGUAAGGCACUUUGAUACACGUGACCUGAUCGUCUGUCAUCUGGACCGAGUGGCAGCAGCCUCUGGAUAAAGGACCCGUAUCUGACUCAUCUUCUGAUCCCAGGACUGCGCACAGUAGGUCUGUCUGCUCCGCCUCAUGAGUGUUUUGAGAAAUUGAAAGGAAACCCCCGGAACCUCAGAAAGAGAUCCUGUCUGAGGUCUCCCUUGUGUUUCAUUAAUUCAGCAACCACGGAGCGAGCUGCCCAAAUUGACCUCAGGCUGCCAAGGCCUGAGGACCCAGUUCCCCGGGAGCCUCCCGGGUUUAAGAAAGAGGGUCCGCUGCCUUCUUAGCAAGCGACCUCUCCAGGCCCGAACAAGGAAGCAAUUCAGCCUGACCCAAGGAGAGAGGGAGGAAGGCACUCCUUACUCUGGCUCUUCCCUGGCCAGGACAGGACUUGGCUUUUUAUUCAAGGCCCAGAGAAUCCCAGGACUGAUAAAGGCCCAUUGUGGCAGCUUCUGGAGAAAUCUGGAGAAGCCCAGAGGCCGUCGGGGGGCUCUGGGGCUAAGGAGCCGGUUAACAGCCCUGGAACAUUUGUGGAAAGAAUUAGUUGGCGGCAGUCAGGGCGGAACGAGGCCCCCGGGCUGUCACUGGCAUCAUCCGCGGCAAGCAGGCCAAAGGCAAACCCAGUAGGAAGCUGGCCUGUCUGUGGCUAGAAGGGCUGGCCUGCGAGGCAGAGGGGACCCAAAACCCGUGGAGGGCUCCCCUGCAGACACCUGGAGGGUGAAACCCAAUCUCCCGCCCGGUGCAAGAAACACAACUGUUCUUUUUAAAAAGGGCCUGGGGAGGAGGGAGUCUCCGCCCCUGGCCCCUGCCGCCCUCCCCCGCCCCCC